rnacentral:rRNA from 1 species
ACCAGACUCCUACGGGAGGCAGCAGUGGGGAAUAUUGCACAAUGGGGGAAACCCUGAUGCAGCAACGCCGCGUGAGUGAAGAAGUAUUUCGGUAUGUAAAGCUCUAUCAGCAGGGAAGAAGAUGACGGUACCUGAUUAAGAAGCCCCGGCUAACUACGUGCCAGCAGCCGCGGUAAUACGUAGGGGGCAAGCGUUAUCCGGAUUUACUGGGUGUAAAGGGAGCGCAGACGGCAGUGCAAGUCUGGAGUGAAGGCCCGGGGCCCAACCCCGGAACUGCUCUGGAAACUGUGCGGCUAGAGUACUGGAGGGGCAGGCGGAAUUCCUAGUGUAGCGGUGAAAUGCGUAGAUAUCGCGCAGAACUCCGAUUGCGAAGGCAGCGUACCGGCGCCAGACUGACGCUGAGGCACGAAAGCGUGGGGAUCGAACAGGAUUAGAUACCCCGGUAUC